rnacentral:tRNA from 1 species
GGAGGGAUGGCAGAGAGGCUAAAUGCACCGUAUUGAGCGUACGGCAAAUCUUGGGGGCGUGUCCCCGGGGUUUCGAGGGUUCGAAUCCCUCUCCCUCCGCCA